UGAGUUAACCAAAUCCAAUUUUACCAUGAAAAAUGAUAUACAACUCACUAAGAAAUUAUUAGUUAUAGUCAUUGUUUUAUCUUUUAUAUACAUAUUAAAGGAGUAUAUUUUUUAAUAAUUAAUUUAUUAGUAUUGUGAUAAAUCAUGAGUCGAAAAGUUUCAUAUUUUUAUAAUCCUAAUGUGGGUAAUUUCCAUUAUGGGCCUGGGCACCCAAUGAAACCUCAUAGGUUAUCUGUGAUUCAUAGUUUAGUUCUGAAUUAUGGUUUGCAUAAAAAGAUGCAGAUUUAUCGCCCAUAUAGUGCAAGUACUCAUGAUAUGUGCAGAUUUCACAGCGAUGAAUACAUCGAGUUUUUGCAAAGAGUGACUCCACAAAAUAUUCAAGGAUAUACAAAAUACCUGUCACAUUUUAAUGUAGGCGAUGAUUGUCCUGUAUUCGAUGGUUUAUUUGACUUCUGUUCUAUGUAUACAGGGGCAUCCUUAGAAGGUGCUCAAAAAUUAAAUAAAAAUCAUUGUGAUAUUGCUAUUAACUGGAGUGGAGGAUUACAUCAUGCUAAAAAAUUUGAAGCUAGCGGUUUUUGUUAUGUAAAUGACAUUGUGAUAGCUAUAUUAGAAUUACUUAAAUACCAUCCAAGGGUUCUAUAUAUCGAUAUUGAUGUGCAUCAUGGUGAUGGGGUGCAAGAAGCCUUUUAUCUAACUGACCGAGUAAUGACAGUGUCUUUCCACAAGUAUGGAAAUUAUUUCUUUCCAGGAACAGGAGAUAUGUAUGAAAUUGGUGCUGAGAGUGGACGAUAUUAUUCAGUCAAUGUGCCACUUAAAGAAGGCAUUGAUGAUCAGAGCUAUUUUCAAGUGUUUAAACCUGUAAUAAGUGCUGUGAUGGAAUUCUAUAAACCAACUGCAAUAGUUUUGCAAUGUGGUGCUGAUUCUUUGGCUGGUGAUCGUCUUGGAUGUUUUUCUCUGAGCACAAGAGGGCAUGGAGAUUGUGUUAAAUAUGUUAGAGAUUUGAAUGUACCCACAUUAGUUGUAGGAGGAGGAGGGUAUACAUUGAGGAAUGUGGCUCGUUGUUGGACAUAUGAAACAUCUCUCUUAGUUGAUGAACAAAUUUCAAAUGAACUACCCUUAACAGAAUAUUUAGAAUACUUUGCUCCUGACUUUAGUUUGCACCCUGAAAUUGCUACACGACAAGAUAAUGCUAAUACUAAACAGUAUUUGGAAACUAUUACAAAGCAUGUGUACGAUAAUUUGAAAAUGUGUGCCAAUUCACCAAGUGUGCAAAUGCAUAUGGUCCCAGAAGAUGCAUUUCCUGAGGAUGAAAAAAUUAAAGAAGAACCAGAUCCAGAUGUCAGAAUCAGUCAGGCUGAUGAAGACAAAGCUGUAGAACCAGUAAAUGAAUUUUAUUCCGGGGAUAAAGAUCAAGAUAAGACAAGUGAAAAUUCUGAACCCUAACAAAUAUGAACUAGCUGUACCCGAUCACGCAUUGCUUUGUUACACUUAUAAAUAAAAAUCCAGAGAAAAUAGCGGACAUAUCUUUUAUGGUUGAUUAGAUGCAUCAUCAAGUGAAACAUGUUAGAGAUUUCAGUAUUUAUUAUUACAUUAACAUUGUGCGCAGUUUAAUAAAAUCACA